rnacentral:tRNA from 1 species
AACCAACAAGAACUGCUAACUCUUACAUCUGAGCCUAAAACCUCAGUCCCCUUA